rnacentral:tmRNA from 1 species
ACUGGUUUUGACAGCAAGACCAAUGGUAAUGUAAGCAUGCCGAGCUAUGGAAUCGAUGCUCGUUAAUCUCUGUUCCAACUUUUUAAAUGGCGAAAAUAACUACGCUUUAGCUGCUUAAUUGACUGAAUUAUAGUAAGUCCAAGCCUAGUCCCGCCAGGCGGGAAAGCUGAAUGUUCCUUGGUAGCCCUUGUUGAUGGCGACCUUUUUAGGAGCACCAUAAAAGUCAACAUAGCGUUUUUACGGCUUCGGUAAGAGCGUAAACCUAAAGAAGCUAAGGGUAUGGUAGGCGGUUUUUGGUCAGCCUUACCACGAAAACCGAACAAAAACUAAGCAUGUA